rnacentral:miRNA from 1 species
ACACUUGACACGUGUCCAUAUGCAUAACCAUAGUUCCAUAAAUAUAAAGUAAAAAGUUAACCAUGGUUAUGCCUAUGGACACGUGUCAAGUAU